rnacentral:rRNA from 1 species
GAGAACUCGGGUGAAGGGACUAGGCAAAAUGGUACCGUAACUUCGGGAGAAGGUACGCCGCUUGGGGUGAUCGGACUUGCUCCGUGAGCUCCGGGCGGUCGAAGUGACCAGGUGGCUGCGACUGUUAUUAAAAACACAGCACUCUGCAAACACGAAAGUGGACGUAUAGGGUGUGACGCCUGCCCGGUGCCGGAAGGUUAAUUGAUGGGGUCAGCCGCAAGGCGAAGCUCUUGAUCGAAGCCCCGGUAAACGGCGGCCGUAACGAUAACGGUCCUAAGGUAGCGAAAUUCCUUGUCGGGUAAGUUCCGACCUGCACGAAUGGCGUAACGAUGGCCACACUGUCUCCACCCGAGACUCAGUGAAAUUGAACUCGCUGUGAAGAUGCAGUGUACCCGCGGCUAGACGGAAAGACCCCGUGAACCUUUACUACAGCUUUGCACUGGACUCUGAAUCUGUUUGUGUAGGAUAGGUGGGAGGCUAUGAAGCCGGAACGCUAGUUCUGGUGGAGCCAACCUUGAAAUACCACCCUGACAUAUUUGGGGUUCUAACCCAGGCCCGUUAUCCGGGUCGGGGACAGUGUAUGGUGGGUAGUUUGACUGGGGCGGUCUCCUCCCAAAGAGUAACGGAGGAGCACGAAGGUACCCUCAGCGUGGUCGGAAAUCACGCUUUUGAGUGCAAAGGCAUAAGGGUGCUUGACUGCGAGAGCGACGGCUCGAGCAGGUGCGAAAGCAGGUCUUAGUGAUCCGGUGGUUCUGAAUGGAAGGGCCAUCGCUCAACGGAUAAAAGGUACUCCGGGGAUAACAGGCUGAUACCGCCCAAGAGUUCAUAUCGACGGCGGUGUUUGGCACCUCGAUGUCGGCUCAUCACAUCCUGGGGCUGAAGCCGGUCCCAAGGGUAUGGCUGUUCGCCAUUUAAAGUGGUACGCGAGCUGGGUUUAGAACGUCGUGAGACAGUUCGGUCCCUAUCUGCCGUGGGCGUUGGAGAUUUGAGGAAAGCUGCUCCUAGUACGAGAGGACCGGAGUGGACGAACCUCUGGUGUUCGGGUUGUCACGCCAGUGGCAUUGCCCGGUAGCUACGUUCGGACGGGAUAACCGCUGAAAGCAUCUAAGCGGGAAGCCUCUUCCAAGAUGAGAUCUCCCCGGGGACUCGAUCCCCCUGAAGGGUUGUUCAAGACCAGGACGUUGAUAGGUGGGGUGUGUAAGCGCUGUGAGGCGUUGAGCUAACCCAUACUAAUUGCCCGUGCGGCUUGACCAU